rnacentral:rRNA from 1 species
CGUGCUUACACAUGCAAGUCGAGGGGUAACAGAUCUUCGGAUGCUGACGACCGGCGAACGGGUGAGUAACACGUAUGCAACUUACCCAUAACUCGGGAAUAGCCCAAAGAAAUUUGGAUUAAUACCCAAUAAUACAGGCGUACCGCAUGGUAUUCUUCGUUAAAGAAUAAUCGGUUAUGGAUAGGCAUGCGUUCUAUUAGGUAGUUGGUGAGGUAACGGCUCACCAAGCCGACGAUGGAUAGGGGAACUGAGAGGUUGUCCCCCCACACUGGUACUGAGACACGGACCAGACUCCUACGGGAGGCAGCAGUGAGGAAUAUUGGUCAAUGGACGAAAGUCUGAACCAGCCAAAUCGCGUGAAGGAAGAAGGUAUUAUGUAUCGUAAACUUCUUUUGUAAGAGAGUAAAGUGCACUACGUGUAGUGUAUUGCAAGUACCUUACGAAUAAGCAUCGGCUAAUUCCGUGCCAGCAGCCGCGGUAAUACGGAAGAUGCAAGUGUUAUCCGGAUUUAUUGGGUUUAAAGGGUGCGUAGGUGGUCUAAUAAGUCAGUGGUGAAAUCUCUUUGCUUAACAAGGAAAUUGCCAUUGAAACUGUUAGACUUGAGAAUGGACGAGGUAGGCGGAAUUCGUAGUGUAGCGGUGAAAUGCAUAGAUAUUACGAAGAACUCCAAUAGUGUAGACUGCUUACCAGACCAUAUCUGACACUAAGGCACGAAAGUGUGGGUAUCAAACAGGAUUAGAUACCCUGGUAGUCCACACAGUAAACGAUGAAUACUAACUGUUUGCGAUAUACAGCAAGUGGUCGAGCGAAAGCGUUAAGUAUUCCACCUGGGAAGUAUGCCGGCAACGGUGAAACUCAAAGGAAUUGACGGGGGCCCGCACAAGCGGAGGAACAUGUGGUUUAAUUCGAUAAUACGCGAGGAACCUUACCCGGGCUCGAAC